rnacentral:rRNA from 1 species
CGAGACCCUGACGCGUCCUCUCG